rnacentral:tRNA from 1 species
UCUAAUAUGGCAGAAUAGUGCAAUAGAUUUAAGAUCUAUAUAUAAAGUCUUACUUUUUUUAGAA